rnacentral:lncRNA from 1 species
GACCUAAACUUGGAGAUCCACGAAAAUGAGCUCCUGAGUUCCCAAAGCUCCAAAACUUGGUUUAAAAGCUCAAAACCUUCAAUGCAAGCUUAAAACUCAAGAAAAAUGGUAGAGAUUUGGAGGAAGAACACAAGAGUUGAAAAAGGAAGGUCGGAAGCUUGCUGUGGCCGGAAAUGGGAGAAAGCUCGCCCAUUUCGGCUAAGUGCCC